rnacentral:rRNA from 1 species
CAGCCGCCGCGGUAAUACGGAGGGUGCAAGCGUUAAUCGGAAUUACUGGGCGUAAAGCGCACGCAGGCGGUCUGUCAAGUCAGAUGUGAAAUCCCCGGGCUUAACCUGGGAACUGCAUUUGAAACUGGCAGGCUAGAGUCUUGUAGAGGGGGGUAGAAUUCCAGGUGUAGCGGUGAAAUGCGUAGAGAUCUGGAGGAAUACCGGUGGCGAAGGCGGCCCCCUGGACAAAGACUGACGCUCAGGUGCGAAAGCGUGGGGAGCAAACAGGAUUAGAGACCCGAGUAGUCCCUGUCUCUUAUAC